rnacentral:sRNA from 1 species
ACUGGACAUGGUGGCGUGUGCCUGUAAUCCCAGCAGCUUGGGAAGCUGAGGCAGGAGGAUUACAAGUUCACAGCCAGUCUCAGCAACUUAGUGAAAUCCUGUCUUAA